UACGGAGGGAGCUAGCGUUGUUCGGAAUUACUGGGCGUAAAGCGCACGUAGGCGGCUUUGUAAGUUAGAGGUGAAAGCCCGGGGCUCAACCCCGGAAUUGCCUUUAAGACUGCAUCGCUUGAAUCCAGGAGAGGUGAGUGGAAUUCCGAGUGUAGAGGUGAAAUUCGUAGAUAUUCGGAAGAACACCAGUGGCGAAGGGCGGCUCACUGG
rnacentral:rRNA from 1 species